CUAAUUAUGAAAAAUCUCAUCAUCAUUACUGAGUUCGUCCUUAUGGAAUCAUCUAGAAAUCCUCAGAUCCAGACCAUGACCUGUAUGCUCCUGGUGAUUUAUCUGUUGUCACUGAUGGAGAACCUGAUGAUGAUCCUGGUGAUCAGGACCAAUUCCCACCUUAAAACAACCAUGUACUUCUUUCUGGGUCACCUGUCACUGUUAGAUCUCUGCCUUCCUUCAAUCCCUGUGCCCAAGAUGCUGCAGAAUUUAUUAACUCAAAGGUAAACCAUCUCUAUGUGGUACUGCAUUGUCCAGAGUUUCUUUCUCAUAUUCUCUGGGAGCACAGAAGCCUGCCUACUCCUUGCCAUGGCCUGUGAUCACUCUACUUCCAACUGCCACCCUCGGCUCAACGAUGUGGUUAUGAAUCAGCCUGUCUGUGUCAGGAUGGUGAUUGCAGCAUGGGCAGUGGGAUUCCUAAACUCCUUGACAAAGAAUCUUUUCAUUUACAACUUACACUUCUGUGGCCCCAGUGUCAUCCCUCACUUCUGCUGUGAGCUGCCUUCACUCUUCCCUCUCUCUUGUAUUGAUCCAGCUGCCAGUGAGGUCCUUCCUGCUGGGUCAUGUACAUUGCUAGGAUUUGUGACUUGCCGCUGGUCCUCUUUUCUUACUCUAACACCAUCUCUGCCUCCUAGCCAUUUGUUUUUCUGAGGGUCAAGGCAAAGCCUUCUCCACCUGCUCCUCCCACCUCACCGUGGUGCUUUUGUACUAUGGUAAGGUUUUAUUAAGGUACACGACCCCUCUCUUAGGUUCCAUCUUGGAGCAAGUGGUCUGCAUUCAGUACAGUGUGAUCACAUCUUCACUGAAGCCACUCAUCUGCAGCCUCAAGAACCAGGAGGUGAAG
rnacentral:lncRNA from 1 species